GACGAACGCUGGCGGCGUGCUUAACACAUGCAAGUCGAACGAUGAAAGCUGGGGCUUGCUCCGGCUGGAUUAGUGGCGAACGGGUGAGUAACACGUGAGCAAUCUGCCCUUCACUCUGGGAUAACCUCGAGAAAUCGAUGCUAAUACCGGAUACGACGCGCUGGGGCAUCCCAUGCGCGUGGAAAGAAUUUUGGUGAAGGAUGAGCUCGCGGCCUAUCAGCUAGUUGGUGAGGUAAGGGCUCACCGAGGCGACGACGGGUAGCCGGCCUGAGAGGGUGACCGGCCACACUGGGACUGAGACACGGCCCAGACUCCUACGGGAGGCAGCAGUGGGGAAUAUUGCACAAUGGGCGAAAGCCUGAUGCAGCAACGCCGCGUGGGGGAUGGAGGCCUUCGGGUUGUAAACCUCUUUUAGCAGGGAAGAAGCGAAAGUGACGGUACCUGCAGAAAAAGCACCGGCUAACUGCGUGCCAGCCGCCGCCGUAA
rnacentral:rRNA from 1 species